rnacentral:rRNA from 1 species
UACGGAGGGUGCGAGCGUUAAUCGGAAUUACUGGGCGUAAAGCGUGCGUAGGCGGCUAUGUAAGUCGGGUGUGAAAGCCCCGGGCUCAACCUGGGAAUUGCAUUCGAGACUGAAUAGCUAGGGUGCUGUAGAGGGAAGCGGAAUUUCCGGUGUAGCGGUGAAAUGCGUAGAUAUCGGGAGGAACAUCUGUGGCGAAGGCGACUGCCUGGACCAGCACUGACACUGAGGCACGAAAGCGUGGGGAGCAAACAGG